rnacentral:tRNA from 1 species
GGACCGGUAGCUUAGCCAGGUUAGAGCGCCACGCUGAUAAACACACCCUGCUUAGCCGGGUAUCCAAACACGCCUUCUCUCCGAGAAGGAUGCAAAUAAUCCGCAUCAACGGAAAAAAUUCAGAAACGUGGAGAUCCCCAGUUCAAAUCUGGGCCGGUCCA